UUGAGUUUUCUAAUUGCUUUUAUUAAUUUAUCUAAAUUAGAUCUUUUUGGGUGUUAGCACUUAACAUUCAGGUCUAGUUUUGUUCUUCCAUUCUGACCCAGAUUAUGAUGGCUUCUCUAAAUGUUCUCCUCACUUGCCAAAACUGUCUGGAGUAUCAUCUAGGUUCAGUGAUCAGCUGAAGGCAUUUGUAGAGCAUGGCACAUUUUUUCUUUUUAGUACUAAUCUAGUAGCAAUCUUUAUCUUCGUUCCCCAAAGUAAGUAAAUCUACUGCACAUAGAUUCCCUUUGAACUCUGAAUGAUGCUAUUCAGUCAUAAAUGUCAAUUUGUUAAAAUAGCAGACUAUCUCAUUACCUUUAACAUAAAUUCAGUCUUUCCAAAGCAUGUCAUUUCCUGCUGCCAAGGUGUAGUUGCUAUUCUACCUUGUUUAUAUUAUGCUUUUAGUGUCAGAUUGCAUGUCUUGUGUUGUUAGUUCAAGCUUGAUAGGCAUCUCUCUGUAAAUUGAUUACAAUCCUCUUACCUCCCCUUUGCUUCCAAGAAACAUCAAAUCUUUCUGCAAUUACUUGCUUUUUCCCUUAGAAGCAAUUUUUUUCUUUCUAUUUGAUUAUGCCCCCCCUAAAAAGUGAAUAAAAUAAUUUCAAUUCCAGAUGUUGAGAAGAGAGCAAGGCUACUUUAGAAAUUAUCACAAACCAAAUGUUUCCUGUUAGAACUGAGUGAAUUUCGUAUUAAUGGUUAUUUACAAACAGCACAUUUGUUAAAAAGUGGCAUUUCUUGCAAAUUCUUUCAUUCCUUUUAUUCUGGUCAACUUUAAAUAAUAAUUUCAGGUGAGAAAAAUGGGGAGAAAAUAGAUUUUGAAUGUCAGCAUAUUUGGUUGUGGAAAAAAAAAGAAACCAAAAAGUUUUGAUUCUUCUUGUGUAAAAUGUUUUAUUCAACACAUCAAAUUUAUGUUUAAUUAUCUAAACUUUCUGAGGUGUCAUUAAGAAUGGAGGUGAAGGAGGGAAGAGAUUGCAUUUGUUAGUGGGAUGCAGGAGACCCAGUUUUUCUCCUGUUUUCCUCAGGCUGGCAAUCAAACUGGGAAAAAUCACAUUCACCCAGUUCUGUUCCUGAUAUUAAAAGUCUUCUUGUUAAAGGAGAUGCAGAAUAAACAAUUAUUUAAUGAAGUGGAUAUUGUCUAUAUAGCAGUGGAAAUUUGUACUUUUUGCGUGCACAGUUCUCCAGGUCCAGAGUUCACAAGUGAUUUGCUCCUGAGAACGGAGCUGCUUCUUGACUGCUUUGUCUUUUAGUCUGCCAAAAUGAAAUAGGCAAAAUGGCUGGAAGUAUACCAGCUCUCUUCUACUGAGAAUGUCCAGCAGCUGGAACAAGAACUAGCAGCACAGCUGACAGAGCUGAAGGUGGAAAUAGAAGACAAUAGGAUACUCCAAGAAUGCCUAGUGGGGCAUACAGGUACCAAGAAUUUGCUGGGGAAUGAAGGGGAGAGUGAAGUUAUAGCAACGUGUUGUAUCUUCUUGUUUGUUUUUUUUUUCAGUUGUGAUACAAAAGUUGUGUGUGUAUAACUGUUCAAUUUUGAGACCUGAAUACAUACAUGGGAGUCAGGAGUACCAGCUUUUCCACUGUGUGUUUACCACAGAACUGUGGCUGAAAUGGAAAGGAAUGUCAAAACAUAAACUAAAUUGAUUUCAUGGUGCGUAUUGUAAGCAAAACUUUAGAUCUCCCUAGCAUUUCAAGUGUGUCCUUCUUACAGUGAAGAGGAAGCUUCUCCAAACAUAAUGCUACAAUGUAUAAACAGAGUGGUCACAUAUAAGGCAGCUGCUCUCACUUUCCUCAGUGGUUAUGAGAUGCAAACUAUGGCAAUGUGCCCAAGUUUGGCACCGUGCUUCAGGGAAGCUGUAGACUACCCGGAGAAUAUGUGGAGGAAAACAGAGGUGAAGAACACUUGAUUAGGACAGUUAAGACAAAAAGGAAAGGAGCUGGAUUUAUGUCUCCACUCUGUUUUCUCUAGAUUAUAAAUCUUGAGACACAUGGCAGAUUGCUGUAAAGGUUAAGAGAUAAACUUCUGUUUGCACUUAUGAAUAGGACAUAAAAUAAUGGGCUAAAAUUCAAGUUUUCCAAAGCCAGUGUAAAUAAACACUGAUCUCUAGACUAGGAGGUUGCUGAUCAUCUGUAGUGACCAUCCAUCUUUAAGAACAGGAUAGAUAAAUACCUUUAGGGAACAGAUUUACUUUUUCCUGCCUUAGAGCAGUGGAAGUGGUAGAUGAUCAUAAGCCCCCUCCUGAUCCUACCUCUUUAAGGCUCUGAAGUGUUCCCUUAGAGUUUGCCAUAUAUUGCUUUUGGAUGAGACUUAGGAGCCCCUUUUUUAAUGGUCCAGUUUUUCACCUGUUUUUAAUUUUCAUGAAUUUGUUUCACUCAAGUACAUUAAAAAUGUGUAAUGUAUGGUUCCUGUAAGUAUAUUUACCAUAGAAUCUUAGAAUAUCUCAAGUUGGAAGUGAGCCAUAAGAAUUAAUGAGUCCAAUUCCCUGCUCCUCACAGGACUACCUCAAACUAAACCAUAUGACAAAGAGCAUCAUCCAGACACUCCUUGAACUCUGCCAGGCUUGGUGCUGUGGCCAUUUCCCUAGGGGCCUGCUCGAGUGACCAACCAAUGUCUGGGUGAAGAUCCUUUUCCUGAUGUCCAGUGUUGAUACAUGGGAAUUAAAAACCAGUUCUUCUCCAAAAGUUUCCUCAGCUCCCCCUUCUGUGACAGGGGUGUACUAGGAAGGUGACUAAAUUGUGAAGGAUGCUUGUUAAGGAGCUCCAUUGCAUAGCUGUGCAUUGUAGUAUGUGUUCAUAGGAUUGACAAACAUCCUGAUGGACUUUUUCAGGGCUUUGAGGUGGAAGAAAGAGUUUGCCAAAAAACAUCUGUUAAUUAAAUAAAUUCUGCUGGUUUAAUAUAGUCUUUUCAUAUCAUUAAACUUGCUUACUCUUAAAUUCGCCAUCUGAGCUACACUGGGCCUGAAAAAGGUUUGGUUUAUACCACCUUGUAUGUAGCAUCCUACUGAACUUUUUUUUCCCUGUGACUCUGUUGGAAUUCCAAAGGAUGCAUCUUGUUUCAGAAAAGAAAGAGAGGUAAUACUGAAGAAAGGUUUAUGGGUAGGUGGCUAAAAUAUACACUGGUUUAAAAAAAAGAUCUCUUUGCUCUUUACCAAGAAAUAACUGAAAAUUAAAACAGAGAGAAUUAUAUGUUUUUUAGAAUCUGGGCCUGUAAAGACAGAAUGGGAAGGGUCGUAAUGUUGUUUGCACAGUAGUAACACAGCAUGACCCUAUUUGAGUACUAAUCUGGACCUGGCUCUGCAGCGUUUAUUUAUGUGACAACUCUCAAAUAAAUUCAAAGCCUAAUGAUUUUUCUCUAUCUGCCACUUCUUUAGAAUUUUUUUAUAUCCUGAAAAAUAGAUAAAUUCAACGUGUUCUCCUUUUGCAGGUGCCAGAAGCAAAUCCCUGUGUUAUUCAGGCUGCUGUCAUGCAGAGGGAGGUAGAGAGCUGGGAAUAACCUGAAGUGAGCACACAGUAGCAAGCUUGCCCCUGCUGCUGACCCAGGUUCUCCAAAAAUUUAGAAGCAUCUUCUGCAAACAGCUGACAAUGAGAACUUUUCCACUUUAUGAUGCAGAGGUUUUUCAGUCAGAGAACUGGGGCACGCUACAUCCAGCCAGGGCUUUGAAAAAGAGAAACAACUGGAUCCCUUAUUUAAAGGCAAUGUAACUUGUGAGCGAUUCAGUGGCAGCAACAUCCUUGGCUGGGCACGUGUCUCUGGAUCAAUGCCCUGUGCUCCUUGACCUCUGGACCUGUGAAACUGCUCUCUUGGGAAAAAAAAUGCCAGGUACAGAAGCUUUUCUUGGUUUGAAAACAGUAAUUUGCAAUCAGUUCACUUCAGGUUGUGUAAGGUUCCUUUUCAACAAUGUUUCCUGUUGCUUAUACAGAGAUGCUAGAGCCAGCAACUGCGUAUAUUCUAUAA